ACUCAAAUGAAUAGACGGGGGCCCGCACAAGCGGCGGAGCAUGUGGCUUAAUUCGAUGCAACGCGAAGAACCUUACCUGGGUUUGACAUGCAGGGAAAUCCCACAGAGAUGUGGGGUCCGUAAGGGCCUUGCACAGGUGGUGCAUGGCUGUCGUCAGCUCGUGUCGUGAGAUGUUGGGUUAAGUCCCGCAACGAGCGCAACCCUCGUCCUAUGUUGCCAGCGAGUAAUGUCGGGGACUCAUAGGAGACUGCCGGGGUCAACUCGGAGGAAGGUGGGGAUGACGUCAAGUCAUCAUGCCCCUUAUAUCCAGGGCUGCACACAUGCUACAAUGGCCGGUACAAAGAGCUGCGAUGCCGUAAGGCGGAGCGAAUCUCAUAAAGCCGGUCUCAGUUCGGAUUGAGGUCUGCAACUCGACCUCAUGAAGUCGGAGUCGCUAGUAAUCGCAGAUCAGCAACGCUGCGGUGAAUACGUUCCCGGGCCUUGUACACACCGCCCGU
rnacentral:rRNA from 1 species